rnacentral:rRNA from 1 species
AGAGUUUGAUCCUGGCUCAGGAUGAACGCUAGCGGCAGGCCUAAUACAUGCAAGUCGAACGAUACUUAGGAGCUUGCUCUUAAGGAAAGUGGCGCACGGGUGCGUAACGCGUAUGCAACCUACCUUAAUCAGGGGGAUAGCCCGAAGAAACUCGGACUAACACCGCAUAAAAACACAGGAUAGCAUUAUCCAAUGUUCAAAUAUUUAUAGGAUUAAGAUGGGCAUGCGUGUCAUUAGCUAGUUGGCGGGGUAACGGCCCACCAAGGCGACGAUGACUAGGGGAUCUGAGAGGAUGACCCCCCACACUGGUACUGAGACACGGACCAGACUCCUACGGGAGGCAGCAGUAAGGAAUAUUGGUCAAUGGAGGCAACUCUGAACCAGCCAUGCCGCGUGCAGGAAGACAGCCCUCUGGGUCGUAAACUGCUUUUAUUCGGGAAUAAACCUACUUACGUGUAAGUAGCUGAAUGUACCGAAGGAAUAAGGAUCGGCUAACUCCGUGCCAGCAGCCGCGGUAAUACGGAGGAUCCAAGCGUUAUCCGGAUUUAUUGGGUUUAAGGGGUGCGUAGGCGGCUUAUUAAGUCAGGGGUGAAAGACGGUGGCUCAACCAUCGCAGUGCCCUUGAUACUGAUGAGCUUGAAUACACUAGAGGUAGGCGGAAUGUGACAAGUAGCGGUGAAAUGCAUAGAUAUGUCACAGAACACCGAUUGCGAAGGCAGCUUACUAUGGUGUGAUUGACGCUGAGGCACGAAAGCGUGGGGAUCAAACAGGAUUAGAUACCCUGGUAGUCCACGCCCUAAACGAUGAAUACUCGCUGUUAGCGAUAUACAGUUAGCGGCUAAGCGAAAGCGUUAAGUAUUCCACCUGGGGAGUACGCCCGCAAGGGUGAAACUCAAAGGAAUUGACGGGGGCCCGCACAAGCGGAGGAGCAUGUGGUUUAAUUCGAUGAUACGCGAGGAACCUUACCCGGGCUUGAAAGUUAGUGAAUUAUCUAGAGAUAGAUAAGUGAGCAAUCACACGAAACUAGGUGCUGCAUGGCUGUCGUCAGCUCGUGCCGUGAGGUGUUGGGUUAAGUCCCGCAACGAGCGCAACCCCUAUGUUUAGUUGCCAGCACGUUAAGGUGGGGACUCUAAACAGACUGCCUGUGCAAACAGAGAGGAAGGAGGGGACGACGUCAAGUCAUCAUGGCCCUUACGUCCGGGGCUACACACGUGCUACAAUGGAUGGUACAGAGGGCAGCAAGCUGGCAACAGCAAGCGAAUCUCAAAAAGCCAUUCACAGUUCGGAUAGAGGUCUGCAACUCGACCUCUUGAAGUUGGAUUCGCUAGUAAUCGCGUAUCAGCAAUGACGCGGUGAAUACGUUCCCGGGCCUUGUACACACCGCCCGUCAAGCCAUGGAAGUUGGGGGUACCUAAAGUACGUAACCGCAAGGAGCGUCCUAGGGUAAAACCGAUAACUGGGGCUAAGUCGUAACAAGGUA